CUCAGCAUGGAUCCACUGUGCUGGUAAAGUCUGUGAGCCCAAGUUUAGGUCCAGCGAGCCUAAUCCUGUAAUAAAGCCCUUUGCUUUUGCAUGCAUGACCCAGUCUCCCCGGCAGUCUCUGGUUUUGGGGGACGAUAAUGAAAUCUUGGGCAUAACAGAACCAGAUGUCUGGCAAACCCUUUCAUGCUCACAUCUCACCUCACUUGUUAUGAGGUGGACAUUACAGUUACCCCCAUUUUACAGAGACAUAGAUCUGGCUUUGGUGAAACCAGAAAAAAGAAACCCCAACAAUUUGUGCUGAGACCAAGAGGAUACAUCUGUUUCCUGAAUCAACCAGAUCAAAUGAGCAGUGCAUCAAACGCCGCCUGUGCUGAGACUUUAUUUUCUUCCAAAGAAAGAUGAAGCAGUCACACUCAAAGAGGGGGGGAGGGGGGACUAUGCCCAAGCCAAAGGAAAAAUAUAAUCUCUUCUUUGGGGUGAUGCCAGCAGAUUUCUUGAUAUGGUGCUUUCUCCAAACUAAAUUUCACUCCUCACAGGUAUCAUUUCUAAAGCGCCUGUAAAUUUAAAAAAAAAAAAAAAGCGUCCAGCUUCGGCUCAGGUCAUGAUCUCACAGUUCAUGGGUUCGAGCCCCGUAUCAGGCUCAGAGCCUGGAGCCUGCUUCAGAUUCUGUAUCUCCCUCUGUCUGACCUUCCACUGCUCUCAUUGUCUCUCUCUGCCUCUCAAAAAUAAAAUACAACAUUUAAAAAAUUUCUUUUAAUAAAAUAAAGCACCUGUAAAGUAACUCCACUCUCCAAAAUCUUUAUACCCCUGAUUUAUUUCAGCCAGGGCUACAUUGUAUAUUUGCCACCCACUCCUACAUCUUUCCCAGUCUUCCUCAUGCUCCGCAUGAUCCAGGCGUGCUUAAUUCUUUCCCAUGCUCUCAACUGUCUCUGCACCUUUGAUUUGCUCUUCCCUCACAUUUGCUGUUCCCACUGCUUAAAGUGUAUGUCACUGUCUUGAGCCUCUGACUAUCUCCUCCUCAACCCAAGGGACACCUCUUCUAGGGAGCUUUCUUCAACCCCUUAGGAAGAAUUGUCUGCCGUGAACACCUUCACAGUCCCUGUGCUUAACGCUAUACUAGUGCGCACCAUUCCCUUCUAAGCCCCUUGAGGGCAGGAGCCAUGUCCUCACCUGAGACUGCAAAGCGCCCUUGAUGUGUAUUAAGCUUUUACUGAAUGUGUGUGAAAUGAAUGAGUGGUUAAUUUCUCACCAGUGCCUAAAUAAGGGGCAUUAAGUAAUAAACCCUUGUGCAAAUAUACUGCUGUUGAAAGUAU
rnacentral:lncRNA from 1 species